rnacentral:lncRNA from 1 species
GAUGCCUCAUGGAAUUUUGGUCUGUCAGCAAGGCAGCUCUGGGUGACAGGUACCAGCAGCUCUGCUGAAACAUUUAAUUAGUGGCUGCAAUGCAGCCAAUUACUCACUAUUAAUUUAAAGGCUGUUUGAGACUCUGGUAUUAACUCGAUGGCCUUGACUGAUUUCCAGGAGUGUUUGCUGGAUACGUGUGCAACGUGAAAAUGAUGCAAGCAAACCCAACCUCCUGAAUCCAGAGAGGCCCAGGGGUUUCUCUGAGUAUCCCUCCAGAAAACUUCACAAAAACCCUGUAUUAGAGACGGUCUCAGCAACUCAGAACAGCCUCCACAAGCCAAAAGUUAUGUCUAUUUAUACCAAUGCAGAACCCAGGAGGAAAUUUUAUUUUCUCCUCUGUUAUUAAAUCAGAUAAUCCAAAAGGACUUUGCUCAAGACUUUUGCACUCCAUUGGCUGCAUGGAACAUCUGGAAAUUAAACUGGAAGUUAUCUCCCACAACAUCUGAGCUGUGCAGAAGUCAAGACAGGAGGAUAUGGGUUUGCUGUUAUUUUACCUAAAGCUGAUUCACAGAUAAAUCAGAACCUCAGCUGUGGGCUAACAUGCCAAAUGCAAAUUUCAGAUCCUCCUAUGACCCACUUUGCUUUGCUGAAAUCUUUCUUCCAAUGUUAAUUUUAUUUGGCCAAUGUGCAGGAAGAAUCAAAGCCUCAGCAAACAUAUCAUAAUCUAUAUAUUGUUUAAGUAGCAGCAAAUACCAGAAGUUUCUUCUGUGCCUAACUUUACUCGCUCCUAAAUCUUUCUGACAAGAAAUUAAAUUUGGAAAUUAUUUGCAGGAAAAAAAAACCUAGAAGUAAAACUGGGUUUUGUUAAACAUGACAACUUACAGUUUUCCCAAUACACUCAGCAGUAAAAGUUUCUGAUGUCUUCUCAGCAGCACUUGAGUUUGGGGGAUUUGACUCUGGGGACCUUGUCUGAGCUGCAAUUGGACCCAUGGAAUUUUGGAUUUCAACCUGCAAGCUCUUUUAGUGGGAUGAAUUCUGCCUCAGAUGGGAUUCCAUGAGGAGCUCAAGCAAAGCUGGAAUAUAAGGAGCAAAGACAAAGCCAAAACAUGAAUUGCCUCCAAGCCUGUGAGACUAAAUCUCAAAGUAUUACUGGAUUAAAUGCAGUCACAAAAUUCAGGGUUAUAGCAAAGGUUUUAAAAUAAUGUUAUCAUUCCUCAAUCAAUUUUGAAAGGUGGCUUUUCAUAGAUGAUUAAUAUAGUUCAGGAACUUGGGGGUUUUGCCCCUGUUCUGCUGCUCUCUUCCACUUCAGAGUAGAAAAUAAGAAAUAGAAAGUAGAAAACAUUCAUAGAAUGCAGUUUUCAAAAUAAAACAUUAACACCUA